rnacentral:rRNA from 1 species
UGCCCUAGCGGCGAACGGGUGAGUAACACGUGGGCAACCUGCCCCUAGCACUGGGAUAACUCCGGGAAACCGGGGCUAAUACCGGAUAUGACCUUUGAGGGCAUCCUCUUUGGUGUAAAGGAUUCUGGCUAGGGAUGGGCCCGCGGCCUAUCAGCUUGUUGGUGGGGUAACGGCCUACCAAGGCGACGACGGGUAGCCGGCCUGAGAGGGCGACCGGCCACACUGGGACUGAGACACGGCCCAG